rnacentral:lncRNA from 1 species
CUGGCGGAUGCAGACAGAAGCCAGGAGGAACCAUGGCGCCUCACACAUCCAGCAGAGCUCCAGCAACAACUGUAAACACUCCCUGUGAAGAUGGCAAAUAUUUUGAUAAUCUUUCCCCCCAACAGGAUUCUCCCUCAUUGAACAAAUGGACACAGUCGGGAGCCAUCAUCUCAGAAUCCACAGGAAGAAACAUGACAUCAGGAGAGGGAUUGGAGCCUCUUGACUGUGGAGGAGGGAGAUGGAUAACUCUCAGCUACAAAGUCCAGAGGCUGAGGCUGAGGGACAGAGUGGACCUCCAGAAUCCGUGCACUGAGCUAAGGAAGGAAGAGAGUGCUUACACCAAGUCUCUCAGCUAUGACACAAGGAGAGGCACUGUUCACAAGCCCACUCUUCUGGGGCUCCCCUUAGGAAUGGAAGCCUUCCUCUUAUGAACCCCAAUGGGAGCCUCCUCUGACCUCUCCGUACAGUUACUAUUCACCAGAUAUCCAUGUGCUACGUGGACAAGAGACAAGCAAGGGCAAAUUUCACUUCUGCCUCUUACCAGUUAGUUACAUAGCUCUGAACAAGUCAGAAGAUAACCGAAGAACUGACCAGGGGCUCCAUCAGGACUAACAGGGCUGCUAUGUGCAGGCGUGGCCACAGGUCCGCAGUUACUUUAAUUGUGGGUAUUAUUUAUCCUGUUUGUUCCAAAUUCAGGAGCAAUGCUCCAAAUGACCUCAGGGGCUCUCCUGGAUGCAUCUAGGGAUAAGCAUGUUGGGGGAAUUGGUCAUCCCUGCAGCUCUGCCUGGGCUCAGGCCAGAGCCAAGGUAGUGAGGGUGGGCAUGCAAGUGGGAGUGGGGGCUGCCAUGGGCCAGUAGCUGUGGGAGUGGGGACCUGGCUCCAUGUCCCCCCACGUGGGAGGUUGCCUGGAUCUCAGGCAGUCCUGCCUUUCUGGUUAGGGCUUCCCAACUUUUGCGGCUGUCCUCAGGGGCAAGCUAUUUUAGGUAGCAGUCAAAAUAAAACUGAGAUUAACCCAGAAUUCUUGGCA